AAGGGAAGCACAGUCGAGAACGGCAGAGAAUAAUGUGGACGUGAUGGAAUUGGGAAACUUAAAGACACGUGGAACCAGUUAGCACAAGACAGGGGUAUUGGAGAUCGCUGGAGAAGCUUUCGUCCUGCGAUAGACGUCAAAAUAAGCUGAUGAUGAUGAUGAUUAUGUGACGACAUCCAUGCCAGCUUCGCGGCAUGUCAUUCAUGUUAUGUCAUGCAUGCGUGUCAUGCACGUUCUGAUAGCUCGAUUUACGUCGAUUGCGGGGGGGGGGGAGGGGGCGGAGGAGUAACGGCGUGGCCAAGUGGGGCACGCCGGGCACUUGUAACGCUCACUAACAGUAAAUUUUUUGCUACUAUGGCAAUGGCCCCGCUCCUUCCUCCUCCACGGUCAAUUGGGACCCCCCCCCCCCCUUCACACGCAAAAAUUUUCUGGCUACGCCACUGUGGGGAGGGGGGUGUAAGAUUGCUCUAGACCCCUCCCCCUAACUUGUCAACGGAAACGGGGGAGGGGAGGGCAGCUGCCGCCGGGCCGCAAACCUUAGGCAGCCAAAUUACCGGCUGCAUUUCCCUUUGGACGUGAAUACUGCUCUAAUGUCAUUACACUGUCGGAUUCGUGGCAGUUCGAGGGCAUGCGACAAUAAAAAAAAAAAACAUACAGCCAUCAGCAAGGCUUAGCUUGAGCAGAUCUUUGGGAGCUGGGCAAGACUCUCACAAAAAAAAAAGCUUGGCACCCCUCUUACAUGCAUUGCCAACUCUGGGUCACCGCUGACUGCACAUUUCCGGUAAAAAAAACAUCACACAGGAACUCCUCUCGGAUUUGUCUAAGUAUGUGUAAGCAUUGUGACUCUUCCUCAUCUACACGCAGUCCAUGUCGUUAUUAAUGUUAUGAGACUUGAUCCGACGACUAUAAGCGACAGCGCUGCGGCGACACGAACUGCUGAGGUCGGCGGCGCCAAGUGAAUGGUGCAAGCAAAGUACUGCAGGUGGCGGGGCCAGGUGCGCUGGUGAAGUUCCGUUCGUUUUGAGCCGUUAUCGCUCUUUAGCCCUUCUCAUGCGCGUCGAACCAUUAUCAACCGUUCUCCGGCGGCGGCUGCUUGUGUCCCGGCCGCGCGAACCGUAUCUUGAAAGCGAACAGCAUUGUGGACAGAGUGUGCCCACUGCUGAAAACUUCGCGCGCUGUGUUCUCGCCGUUUACUUCGCUUUGAAAACAGACGCGCGUACACCUAUCUUGAAAGUGAUCUGCGAAAAGCGCAUAGUGCGGCAUGAGCUGAAAGCUUCGUGAGCGCAGUGUUCUCGCCGCUUCGGUCGCUUUGAAGCGAGAGCUAGCACGAAGGUGAAUUCACUCGCUGCUGCGGGUUCUAUUUUGAAAGAUAUCGUGCGGUACGGAAUGACGGACGGAUGGUUUUUCUUGUUGGGUAAGUAUAGAAUGCUUACGUUAUAAAAAAAAAUCGCAGGGUUCGCGAAUUUCGCGAUAACAACCAACACCAACCUACUCCCCCGCCCCCCGCUGAGCGAUGCCGUCUUGAUCGCCCUCUCCCAACCCCGGGAAAAGGGACACUACCUCUCUAUCUCAGUUGAAGAAACGAUGAUGAAACGUUAACAACGACAAGAACGACAUUUCCUAACGAGUUGUCUUAUGGCCUCCGAGAUUUGCGCGCGAAGCUGGCGCGCGCGAACCUGGGAGGCCAUAAUUGGCCGCUUAAUAGCAUAAAAAGACAAAAAGAUAAUGCCAAACGACACAGUUAAAAAUUCAGACAACGUACUGAUCUUAGCUAUACUGUUUGGGGAAAAGAAAUAAAAAAAUAGACAGCCGUAACACACGCCACUAAAGCCACCACCGCCGGCAUAACGCGGAACCAACAGUUGGCAACAUUGCUUCGUCCGCUUCGUCUCCGCAACGAGAGCCGCCAUCCUUUCGCGCCGGCCGUUUUGUCAUAGUUCUGUUUUUCUGCAAGUCCGUGCACGCAGCUCAUCGGUAGAUGCACGGGUGCACGGCGUCGCAUUGCGACCUGCGGCAUUUUCUCGUGUUCGCGCAAUCGGUGUGAAACAUGUCGCAUGUGAAAUAUUUGAUAGAAGUGCCUCACGUCCAAGUCAAGCCGCCGUACGAGUGUAUGGCUGUGUGCCCCGUUCUCGGAAGCGUCGACGGGUUUCCGGCAUGCGGAUUUCAGCGUUUGGACUCGACUUUUGGUGAGGAUGUCGAUCGACCUUGGGCCUGGUGACAGCACACCCGACAUGGCCAAAGUGCAGCCUAUCAGUUUAGUGCCCCCGAAUGGACCAUCAGCAUCGGAAAAUGAAGCAGAGCCAGGGGGAAAAGGUUCCGGUAACACCAUGCAUUCAGUAUGGUGGCCCAGACGUGUAUGCAAGCAACCUCCUUCACGUGGACCAAGAACUACUCUGCAGUG